rnacentral:lncRNA from 1 species
UAAAUUUCAUAGAUUACUUCUGUUGUGGAACUCAAGAAUUACGCAAUGCUCAUCUAAGCUUUGUUGAAUUGCAUCGACAUCUGUUGUGGAACUCAAGAGUUAAACAAUAAUCAUCAAAGCUUUGCUAAAUUGCAUAGACUUCUAUUAACUCAAGAAUUAAAAAAUGCUUAUCAAAUUUUUGCUAAAUUGCAUAGACUACUUCUAUUAUAAACUCAUGAAUUAAACAAUCCUCAUCAAAACUUUGCUAAAUUGCAUAGACUUCUAUUGUGGAACACAAGAAAUAAACAAUGCUUAUCAAAUCUUUCCUAAAUUGCAUAGGCUUCUAUUGUAGAACACCUGAAUUAAACAAUGCUCAUCAACCAUUUGCUUAAAUUGCAAAGCCUUCUAUUGUGGAACUCAAGAAUUAAGCAAUGCUCAUCAAAGAUUUGCUAAUUUGCAUUGACUUCUAUUGUGGACCUCAAGAAUUACACAAUACUCAUCAAAGCUUUGCUAAAUUGCAUAGACUUCUAUUGUAGAACUCAAGAAUUAAAAAAUGAUCAUCAAAGAUUUGCUAGAUUGCAUAAACUACUUCUACUAUGGAACUCAAGAGUUAAACUAUGCUCAUCAAUGCUUUGCUAAAUUGCAUAGACUUCUAUUAUGGAAAUAAAGAGUUAAACAACGCUCAUAAAAGCUUUGCUAAAUUGCAUAUCCUUUUGUUGUGGAACUCAAGAAUUAAACAAUGCUCAUCAAGGCUUUGCAAAAUUGCAUAGACUUCUAUUAUGGAACUCAAGAAUUAAACAAUGCCUAUCCAUCCUUUGCUUAAAUUGCAUAGACUUCUAUUGUAGAACUCAAGAAUUAAACAAUGCUCAUCAAGACUUUGCUAAAUUGCAAAGACUUCUAUUGUGGAACUCACGAAUAAAACAAUGGGCAUGAAAGCUUUGCUAAAUUUCAUAGACUUCUAUUGUGGAACUCAAGAAUUAAACAAUGUUCAUGAAAGCUUCGCUAAAUUCCAUAGAAUACUUAUAUUGUGGAACUCAAGAAUUAAACAAUGCUCAUCAAAACAUUGCUAAAUUGCAUAGACUUCAAUUAUGGAACUCACGAAUUAAACAAUGCUCAUCAAAGUUUUGGUAACUUUCAUAGAUUACUUCUAUUUUGGAACUCAAGAAUUAAGCAAUGUUCAUCAAAGCUUUGCUAAAUUGCAUCAUUUCUAUUGUGGAACUCAAUAUAUAAAACAAUACACAUCAAAGCUUUGCUAAAUUGCAUAGACUUCUAUUGUUGAACUCAAGAAUUUAACAAUGCUCAUGAAAGCUUUGCUAAAUUGCAUAGACAACUUCUAUUAUGUAACUCAAGAAUUAAACAAUGCUUAUCAAAGAUUUGCUAAAUUGCAUAGACUUCAAUUGAGGAACUCAAGAAUUAAACAAUGCUCAUUAAAGCUUUGGUAAAUUUUAUAGAUUACUUCUGUUGUGGAACUCAAGAAUUACGCAAUGCUCAUCCAAGCUUUGCUGAAUUGUAUCAGCUUCUAUUGUGGAACUCAAGAAUUAAACAAUAAUCAUCAAAGAUUUGCUAAGUUGCAUAGACUUCUACAGUAGAACUCAAGAAUUAAAAAAUUCUCAUCAAAGCUUUGAUAAAUUGCAUAGACUACUUCUAUUAUAAACCCAUAAAUUAAACAAUGCUCAUCAAAACUUUACUAAAUUGCAUAGACUUCUAUUAUGGUACACAAGAAUUAAACAAUGCUCAUCAAAGGUUUGCUAAAUUGCAUAGACUUCUAUUGUUGAACUCAUGAAUUGAACAAUGCUCAAAAACCCUUUGCUUAGAAUGUAUAGACUUCUAUUAUGGAACACAUGAAUUAAACAAUGCUCAUCAUCCAUUUGCUUAAAUUGCAAAGACUUCUAUUGUGGAACUCAAGAAUUAAGCAACGCUCAUCAAAGAUUCUCGAAAUUGCAUCGACUUCUAUUGUGGAACUCAAGAAUUAAACAAUACUCAUCAAAACUUUGCUAAAAUGCAUAGACUUCUAUUAUGGAACUCAAGAAUUAAACAAUGCGUAUCCAACCUUUGCUUAAAUUGCAUCGACUUCUAUUGUUGAACAGAAGAAUUACACAAUAGUCAUAAAAGCUUUGCUAAAUUGCAUAGACUUCUAUUUUAGAACUCAAGAAUUAAACAAUGCUUAUCAAUGCUUUGCUAAAUUGCACAAACAACUUCUAUUAUGGAACUCAAUAAUUAAACAAUGCUCAUCAAAGCUUUGCUAAAUUGCAUAAACUUCAAUUGUGGAACUCAAGAAUUAAUCAAUGCUCAUUAAAGUUUUGGUAGAUUUCAUAGAUUACUUCUGUUGUGGAACUCAAGAAUUACGCAAUGCUCAUGCAUGCUUUGCUAAAUUGCAUUGACUUAUAUUGUGGAACUCAAGAAUUAAACAAUAAUCAUCAAAGCUUUGCUAAAUUGCAUAGACUUCUACUAAAGAACUCAAGAAUUAAAAAAAGCUCGUCAAAGCUUUGCUAAAUUGCAUAGACUUCUACUAAAGAACUCAAGAAUUAAAAAAAGCUCGUCAAAGCUUUGCUAAAUUGCAUAGAAUACUUCUAUUAUAAACUCAUGAAUUAAACAAUGCUCAUCAAAACUUUUCUAAAUUGCAUAGACUUCUAUUGUGGAACACAAUAAUUAAACAAUGCUCAUCAAAGCUUUGCUAAAUUGCAUAGACUUCUAUUGUUGAACUCAUGAAUUGAACAAUGCUCAUCAACCCUUUUCUAAGAUUGCAUAGACUUCUAUUGUGGAACACAUGAAUUAAACAAUGCUCAUCAACCAUUUGCUUAAAUUGCAAAGACUUCUAUGGUGGAACUCAAGAAUUAAGCAACGCUCAUGAAAGAUUGUCGAAAUUGAAUCGACUUCUAUUGUGGAACUCAAAAAUUAAACAAUACUCAUCAAAGGUUUGCUAAAUUGCAUAGACUUCUAUUAUAGAACUCAAGUAUUAAACAAUGCAUAGACUUCUAUUGUGGAACUCAAGAAUUGAACAAUGCUUAUCCAACCUUCGCUUAAAUUGCAUAGACUUCUAUUGUUGAACUCAAGAAUUAAACAAUGAUCAUCAAAGCUUUGCUAAAUUGCAUAAACUACUUCUACUAUGGAACUUAAGAGUUAAACAACGCUCAUCAAUGCUUUGCUAAAUUGCAUAGACUUCUAUUAUGGAAAUCCAGAAUUAAACAACGCUCAUAAAAGCUUUGCUAUAUUGCAUAUACUUCUAUUGUGGAACUCAAGAAUUAAACAAUGCUCAUCAAAGCUUUGCUAAAUUGCAGAGACUUCUAUUGUGGAACUCAAGAAUUAAGCAAUGCUCAUCCAGCCUUUGCUUAAAUUGCAUAGAUUUCUAUUGUGGAACUCAAGAAUUAAACAAUGCUCAUCAAGACUUUGCUAAUAUGCAUAGACUUCUAAUGUGGAACUCAUGAAUAAAACAAUGCUCAUGAAAGCUUUGCUAAAUUGGAUAGACUUUUAUUGUGAAACUCAUGAAUUAAACAAUAAUCAUCAAACCUUUGCUUAAACUGCAUAGACUUCUAUUGUGGAACUCAAGAGUUAAACAAUGCUCAUCAAAGCUUCGCUAAAUUCCAUAGUAUACUUAUAUUGUGGAACUCAAGAAUCAAAGAAUGCUCAACAAAGCUUUGAUAAAUUGCAUAGACUUCAAUUGUGAAACUCAAAAAUUAAACAAUACUCAUCAAAGUUUUGGUAAAUUUCAUAGAUUGCUUCUAUUUUGGAACUCAAGAAUUAAGCAAUGUUCAUCAAAGCUUUGCUAAAUUGCAUAGACUUCUAUUAUAGAAAAGACUUCUAUUGUGGAACUCAAGAAUCAAAGAAUGCUCAACAAAGCUUUGAUAAGUUGCAUAGACUUCAAUUGUGAAACUCAAAAAUUAAACAAUGCUCAUCAAUGCUUUGCUAAAUUGCAUAGACUUCUAUUAUAGAAAAGACUUCUAUUGUGGAACUCAAGAAUCAAAGAAUGCUCAACAAAGCUUUGAUAAGUUGCAUAGACUUCAAUUGUGAAACUCAAAAAUUAAACAAUGCUCAUCAAUGCUUUGCUAAAUUGCAUAGACUUCUAUUAUAGAAAAGACUUCUAUUGUGGAACUCAAGAAUCAAAGAAUGCUCAACAAAGCUUUGAUAAGUUGCAUAGACUUCAAUUGUGAAACUCAAAAAUUAAACAAUGCUCAUCAAUGCUUUGCUAAAUUGCAUAGACUUCUAUUAUAGAAAAGACUUCUAUUGUGGAACUCAAGAAUCAAAGAAUGCUCAACAAAGCUUUGAUAAGUUGCAUAGACUUCAAUUGUGAAACUCAAAAAUUAAACAAUGCUCAUCAAUGCUUUGCUAAAUUGCAUAGACUUCUAUUAUAGAAAAGACUUCUAUUGUGGAACUCAAGAAUCAAAGAAUGCUCAACAAAGCUUUGAUAAGUUGCAUAGACUUCAAUUGUGAAACUCAAAAAUUAAACAAUGCUCAUCAAUGCUUUGCUAAAUUGCAUAGACUUCUAUUAUAGAAAAGACUUCUAUUGUGGAACUCAAGAAUCAAAGAAUGCUCAACAAAGCUUUGAUAAGUUGCAUAGACUUCAAUUGUGAAACUCAAAAAUUAAACAAUGCUCAUCAAUGCUUUGCUAAAUUGCAUAGACUUCUAUUAUAGAAAAGACUUCUAUUGUGGAACUCAAGAAUCAAAGAAUGCUCAACAAAGCUUUGAUAAGUUGCAUAGACUUCAAUUGUGAAACUCAAAAAUUAAACAAUGCUCAUCAAUGCUUUGCUAAAUUGCAUAGACUUCUAUUAUAGAAAAGACUUCUAUUGUGGAACUCAAGAAUCAAAGAAUGCUCAACAAAGCUUUGAUAAGUUGCAUAGACUUCAAUUGUGAAACUCAAAAAUUAAACAAUGCUCAUCAAUGCUUUGCUAAAUUGCAUAGACUUCUAUUAUAGAAAAGACUUCUAUUGUGGAACUCAAGAAUCAAAGAAUGCUCAACAAAGCUUUGAUAAGUUGCAUAGACUUCAAUUGUGAAACUCAAAAAUUAAACAAUGCUCAUCAAUGCUUUGCUAAAUUGCAUAGACUUCUAUUAUAGAAAAGACUUCUAUUGUGGAACUCAAGAAUCAAAGAAUGCUCAACAAAGCUUUGAUAAGUUGCAUAGACUUCAAUUGUGAAACUCAAAAAUUAAACAAUGCUCAUCAAUGCUUUGCUAAAUUGCAUAGACUUCUAUUAUAGAAAAGACUUCUAUUGUGGAACUCAAGAAUCAAAGAAUGCUCAACAAAGCUUUGAUAAGUUGCAUAGACUUCAAUUGUGAAACUCAAAAAUUAAACAAUGCUCAUCAAUGCUUUGCUAAAUUGCAUAGACUUCUAUUAUAGAAAAGACUUCUAUUGUGGAACUCAAGAAUCAAAGAAUGCUCAACAAAGCUUUGAUAAGUUGCAUAGACUUCAAUUGUGAAACUCAAAAAUUAAACAAUGCUCAUCAAUGCUUUGCUAAAUUGCAUAGACUUCUAUUAUAGAAAAGACUUCUAUUGUGGAACUCAAGAAUCAAAGAAUGCUCAACAAAGCUUUGAUAAGUUGCAUAGACUUCAAUUGUGAAACUCAAAAAUUAAACAAUGCUCAUCAAUGCUUUGCUAAAUUGCAUAGACUUCUAUUAUAGAAAAGACUUCUAUUGUGGAACUCAAGAAUCAAAGAAUGCUCAACAAAGCUUUGAUAAGUUGCAUAGACUUCAAUUGUGAAACUCAAAAAUUAAACAAUGCUCAUCAAUGCUUUGCUAAAUUGCAUAGACUUCUAUUAUAGAAAAGACUUCUAUUGUGGAACUCAAGAAUCAAAGAAUGCUCAACAAAGCUUUGAUAAGUUGCAUAGACUUCAAUUGUGAAACUCAAAAAUUAAACAAUGCUCAUCAAUGCUUUGCUAAAUUGCAUAGACUUCUAUUAUAGAAAAGACUUCUAUUGUGGAACUCAAGAAUCAAAGAAUGCUCAACAAAGCUUUGAUAAGUUGCAUAGACUUCAAUUGUGAAACUCAAAAAUUAAACAAUGCUCAUCAAUGCUUUGCUAAAUUGCAUAGACUUCUAUUAUAGAAAAGACUUCUAUUGUGGAACUCAAGAAUCAAAGAAUGCUCAACAAAGCUUUGAUAAGUUGCAUAGACUUCAAUUGUGAAACUCAAAAAUUAAACAAUGCUCAUCAAUGCUUUGCUAAAUUGCAUAGACUUCUAUUAUAGAAAAGACUUCUAUUGUGGAACUCAAGAAUCAAAGAAUGCUCAACAAAGCUUUGAUAAGUUGCAUAGACUUCAAUUGUGAAACUCAAAAAUUAAACAAUGCUCAUCAAUGCUUUGCUAAAUUGCAUAGACUUCUAUUAUGGAACACAUGAAUUAAACAAUGCUCAUCAACCAUUUGCUUAAAUUGCAAAGCCUUCUAUUGUGGAACUCAAGAAUUAAGCAAUGCUUAUUAAAGAUUGUCGAAAUUGCAUCGACUUCUAUUGUGGAACUCAAGAAUUAAAUAAUACUCAUCAAAGGUUUGCUAAAUUGCAGAGACUUCUAUUGUAGAGCUCAAGAAUUAAACAAUGCUCAUGAAAGCUUUGCUAAAUUGCAUUGACUUCUAUUGUGGAACUCAAGAAGUAAACAAUGCUCAUUUAAGCUUUGUUAAAUUGCAUAGACUUCUAUUAUAGAACUCAAGAAUUAAACAAUGCUCAUGAAAGCUUUGCUAAAUUGCGUAGACUUCUAUUGUGGAACUCAAGAAUUAACAAUGUUGAUCUGAUGCGUGUAUGGGCUUGAUUUGGUGAGUAAGGUAGUGUUUAGGUAAAUUAAGAGAGAAUAGUAACCACAAAUGAUAUAUGAAUGGAAAGAAAUGGAUAGAUUAGUAACAACUCAAGACCUAUUAAGUUGUAUACCGGUGAAAACAAUCCAAGACCUAUUGGAUUGAGUUCGUAUCAAGUCAAGAACACGUCCUAACAAGAUAAUUUGUGAAUUAUAACAAUAAUUCCAAUUGAACAAAGGUUUUUUUCUUAAAAAUUCGUCUAUUAUCUUUCCCAUGCAUAAACUUGGCUUUAUAUGAAGCCUUUAUUACAAACUUGGUGGUUACAAGCCAACCAACC